rnacentral:tRNA from 1 species
GAGGGUAUAGCUCAAGUGGUAGAGUGCAUGCUUAACAUGCACAAGGACCUGGGUUCAAUCUCCAGUACCUCCU